rfam:Alligator sinensis unplaced genomic scaffold scaffold280_1, whole genome shotgun sequence
GGUGCCAUGGCUUAGCAAGUUAAAGUACCUCUCUUGUAAGCAGGAAAUCCUGUGUUCAAAUCCCAGUGGCACCU